AUUGAACGCUGGCGGCAGGCCUAACACAUGCAAGUCGAGCGGCAGCGGAAAGUAGCUUGCUACUUUGCCGGCGAGCGGCGGACGGGUGAGUAAUGUCUGGGAAACUGCCUGAUGGAGGGGGAUAACUACUGGAAACGGUAGCUAAUACCGCAUAACGUCGCAAGACCAAAGAGGGGGACCUUCGGGCCUCUUGCCAUCAGAUGUGCCCAGAUGGGAUUAGCUAGUAGGUGGGGUAACGGCUCACCUAGGCGACGAUCCCUAGCUGGUCUGAGAGGAUGACCAGCCACACUGGAACUGAGACACGGUCCAGACUCCUACGGGAGGCAGCAGUGGGGAAUAUUGCACAAUGGGCGCAAGCCUGAUGCAGCCAUGCCGCGUGUAUGAAGAAGGCCUUCGGGUUGUAAAGUACUUUCAGCGGGGAGGAAGGUGUUGAGGUUAAUAACCUCAGCAAUUGACGUUACCCGCAGAAGAAGCACCGGCUAACUCCGUGCCAGCAGCCGCGGUAAUACGGAGGGUGCAAGCGUUAAUCGGAAUUACUGGGCGUAAAGCGCACGCAGGCGGUCUGUCAAGUCGGAUGUGAAAUCCCCGGGCUCAACCUGGGAACUGCAUUCGAAACUGGCAGGCUAGAGUCUUGUAGAGGGGGGUAGAAUUCCAGGUGUAGCGGUGAAAUGCGUAGAGAUCUGGAGGAAUACCGGUGGCGAAGGCGGCCCCCUGGACAAAGACUGACGCUCAGGUGCGAAAGCGUGGGGAGCAAACAGG
rnacentral:rRNA from 1 species